AUUGAACGCUGGCGGAAUGCUUUACACAUGCAAGUCGAACGGCAGCACGGGGGCAGCCCUGGUGGCGAGUGGCGAACGGGUGAGUAAUACAUCGGAACGUGCCCGGUCGUGGGGGAUAACGUAGCGAAAGUUACGCUAAUACCGCAUACGAUCUGAGGAUGAAAGCGGGGGACCUUCGGGCCUCGCGCGAUCGGAGCGGCCGAUGUCAGAUUAGGUAGUUGGUGGGGUAAAGGCCUACCAAGCCGACGAUCUGUAGCUGGUCUGAGAGGACGACCAGCCACACUGGGACUGAGACACGGCCCAGACUCCUACGGGAGGCAGCAGUGGGGAAUUUUGGACAAUGGGCGCAAGCCUGAUCCAGCCAUUCCGCGUGCAGGACGAAGGCCUUCGGGUUGUAAACUGCUUUUGUACGGAACGAAAAGGCUCUGGCUAAUACCUGGGGCUCAUGACAGUACCGUAAGAAUAAGCACCGGCUAACUACGUG
rnacentral:rRNA from 1 species